CCUACGGGUGGCAGCAGUGGGGAAUAUUGGACAAUGGGGGGAACCCUGAUCCAGCCAUGCCGCGUGUGUGAAGAAGGCCCUCGGGUUGUAAAGCACUUUCAGUGAGGAAGAACGCCUGGUGGUUAAUACCCAUCAGGAAAGACAUCACUCACAGAAGAAGCACCGGCUAACUCCGUGCCAGCAGCCGCGGUAAUACGGAGGGUGCGAGCGUUAAUCGGAAUUACUGGGCGUAAAGCGCGCGUAGGUGGCUUGAUAAGCCGGUUGUGAAAGCCCCGGGCUCAACCUGGGAACGGCAUCCGGAACUGUCAAGCUAGAGUGCAGGAGAGGAAGGUAGAAUUCCCGGUGUAGCGGUGAAAUGCGUAGAGAUCGGGAGGAAUAACAGUGGCGAAGGCGGCCUUCUGGACUGACACUGACACUGAGGUGCGAAAGCGUGGGUAGCAAACAGGAUUAGAGACCCUAGUAGUC
rnacentral:rRNA from 1 species